GAUGAACGCUGGCGGCGUGCUUAACACAUGCAAGUCGAACGGAAAGGCUCCUGCUUGCAGGGGUACUCGAGUGGCGAACGGGUGAGUAACACGUGGGUGAUCUGCCCUGCACUUCGGGAUAAGCCUGGGAAACUGGGUCUAAUACCGGAUAGGACGAUGUUUUGGAUGCCAUUGUGGAAAGUUUUUUCGGUGUGGGAUGAGCUCGCGGCCUAUCAGCUUGUUGGUGGGGUAAUGGCCUACCAAGGCGUCGACGGGUAGCCGGCCUGAGAGGGUGUACGGCCACAUUGGGACUGAGAUACGGCCCAGACUCCUACGGGAGGCAGCAGUGGGGAAUAUUGCACAAUGGGCGCAAGCCUGAUGCAGCGACGCCGCGUGGGGGAUGACGGCCUUCGGGUUGUAAACUCCUUUCGCUAGGGACGAAGCGCAAGUGACGGUACCUGGAGAAGAAGCACCGGCUAACUACGUG
rnacentral:rRNA from 1 species